AUUCGACUGACGAGUCCCGAAUAAGACGAAACGCGCGUCCUGGAU
rnacentral:hammerhead_ribozyme from 1 species